rnacentral:tRNA from 1 species
GGUUUCGUGGUCUAGUCGGUUAUGGCAUCUGCUUAACACGCAGAACGUCCCCAGUUCGAUCCUGGGCGAAAUCAAUUUUUUU